rnacentral:rRNA from 1 species
UACGUAUGGGGCAAGCGUUAUUCGGAUUCAUUGGGCGUAAAGGGUAUGCAGGGGGUCUAUUAAGUCGGGUGUGAAAUUUUCAGGCUCAACCUGAAACGUGCAUUCGAAACUGAUAGACUAGAGUUCGAUAGAGGAGUUUGGAAUUCCAGGUGUAGGGGUGAAAUCUGUAGAUAUCUGGAAGAACACCAGUGGCGAAGGCGAAACUCUGGAUCGAAACUGACCCUCAGAUACGAAAGCCAGGGGAGCAAACGGG